ACUCUGGACUCUGAAUCCAGCGAUCC
rnacentral:piRNA from 6 species